rnacentral:rRNA from 1 species
CACGGGGGGUGCGAGCGUUGCUCGGAAUUAUUGGGCGUAAAGCGUACGCAGGCGGCUCGCCUAGUCGAGUGUGAAAUCCCGGGGCUCAACCCCGGACUUGCUUUCGAAACUUGCGAGCUUGAGUGCGGGAGAGGGAAGCGGAAUUCCUGGUGUAGAGGUGAAAUUCGUAGAUAUCAGGAGGAACACCGGUGGCGAAAGCGGCUUCCUGGCCCGAUACUGACGCUCAUGUACGAAAGCGUGGGGAGCAAACAGG